UACAGAGGGUGCGAGCGUUAAUCGGAAUUACUGGGCGUAAAGCGCACGUAGGUGGCGACGUAAGUCGGGUGUGAAAGCCCCGGGCUCAACCUGGGAAUUGCAUUCGAGACUGCAUUGCUGGAGUACGGAAGAGGAGGGCGGAAUUCCCGGUGUAGCAGUGAAAUGCGUAGAUAUCAGGAGGAAUACCGAUGGCGAAGGCAGGUCUCUGGGCUGACACUGACGCUCAUGCACGAAAGGCGUGGGGAGCAAACGAGG
rnacentral:rRNA from 1 species